rnacentral:tRNA from 1 species
UUAGAAGAAACCAAAAAGAGGUAAACUAUUGUUAAUAGUAAAAUUGAAAAUUUUUUCCUUCUAAG